rnacentral:lncRNA from 1 species
UGGUAAUGCCUCGUACCCUAUUCCGGCGUCAAAUACGGGUAAGGGGUGUUACAUUGUGACUUCGUCAGAUUCGGUCAUAACAUUUAGACCAAAUUUGGGGUGUUACAUUUAGUGGUAUCAGUGCUACGAUUUAGUCAGUUCUUGAACCGAACGUAGCAUAUGUGAGUCCAGGUAUACAUGCCAUGUUAUGACUCGUGAUGGUGUGAUAUCUCCC